UUAAGAUAUAUGUGGUACAGGAUUAGAUACCCCAUUAAUAUAUUUUGUAAGGUUGUUCUAGUUUUGUAACUAAAAUGGUUUGGCAGUGAGUGAUUCUUGUUAGGGGAAGAUGCAUAGUAAAGGAUGGUCCACCUAUUAAUUUACUCUUUUUAUGUUGGUGUAUGUCUGGUUUGAUAUUAUUGUUUAGUAAUGUAAGUUUGUGUAGUUUUAGUUAAGCUAAGUCUAUGUGCUGCUUAUAAGAGUUUUUGUGUGUUACAUUGAUAGGAAUAUUGUUGUAAUAUGGUAUUGU
rnacentral:rRNA from 1 species